rnacentral:tRNA from 1 species
ACCUGGCUGGCCCAGUUGGUAGAGCAUAGGACUCCUGAUCUCAGGGUUGUAAGUUUGAGCCUCAUGCUGGGUG